rnacentral:rRNA from 1 species
AGUGAACGCUGGCGGUAGGCCUAACACAUGCAAGUCGAACGGCAGCACAGUAAGAGCUUGCUCUUACGGGUGGCGAGUGGCGGACGGGUGAGGAAUACAUCGGAAUCUACUUUUUCGUGGGGGAUAACGUAGGGAAACUUACGCUAAUACCGCAUACGACCUACGGGUGAAAGCAGGGGAUCUUCGGACCUUGCGCGAUUGAAUGAGCCGAUGUCGGAUUAGCUAGUUGGCGGGGUAAAGGCCCACCAAGGCGACGAUCCGUAGCUGGUCUGAGAGGAUGAUCAGCCACACUGGAACUGAGACACGGUCCAGACUCCUACGGGAGGCAGCAGUGGGGAAUAUUGGACAAAGGGCGCAAGCCUGAGCCAGCCAUACCGCGUGGGUGAAGAAGGCCUUCGGGUUGUAAAGCCCUUUUGUUGGGAAAGAAAAGCAGCAGGUUAAUACCCCGCUGUUCUGACGGUACCCAAAGAAUAAGCACCGGCUAACUUCGU